rnacentral:siRNA from 1 species
AGACUACUCGAAUAUCUAGGU